UUGUGAACGAGAACAUGCAUUUCUCAUUUUUCGAAGAUAAAACUGGCCCAAAUGCCUCCGCAAUGUUCUACAAUGUUGCACACGCAUUAGAUCCCAACAAAACCAUGUUCUUGAAUGAGUACAAUACGUUAGAGGAACCUUCAGACAAGAAAGUAACCCCGUCCAAGUAUCUGCAAAAAAUCCAGGAAAUUAGAUCUUUUCCGGGGAAUGAAGACAUGGUGGUAGGGAUUGGACUACAAGCUCAUUUUCGUAAGCCAGAUAUUCCUUAUAUGCGCGCCUGCUUAGAUAUCUUGGGUGCAAGCAAAAUGCCGGUGUGGAUUACAGAAUUGGAUGUCGAAAAAAUUCCAAAUCAAGUGAGUUUGAAUUCAUGAAAAAUUAAAUCUCAAUAUAUAGACUAGCUACUAACAAUCAACAAUAUUUAAUAUUAAUUUGGUUGGUUGGUUUGUGAUAGACUGUUUACCUCGAAGAAAUUAUGAGAGAAGCAUAUUCACAUCCUGCCGUUGAAUGAAUUAUUUUGUUUGGUGCGUGGAACCCGGAAGGCUGCUACCGUAUGUGUUUAACAGAUGAUGUGACGCCCCCAAAAUAGGUAUACAACACCCAUUCUGAGUCGCCAAAAUACAUGGUAUAGAAAACAAACUACAACUUUGACAAUACAGAUGUCGUGUAGAAUACGAC
rnacentral:lncRNA from 1 species